rnacentral:lncRNA from 1 species
UGAUGUUUCCAUGCCUUGAGGAUUCUUUUAUUUUUACACGGGGGUCUAAGUGACCAAUGGAUCGUUCAUAUAAACAAACAAAAAAAAAACAGACAAAAAUAUUAUUCAGAAGUGACCUUAGUAUUACUUCAUUAUUCUAACCACAUUGAAGAUGCUCACUUCAUAUGGACUUGGAGCUUCAGACCUUUUACAUCCAUCACAGACAGACCGGAUGGGUUGUGAUUGCUGUGCAUGGCCUAAUAGGCACUGCAGGCUUUAGGAGCCAUUUGGAGUUUGUAUCGUUGAGGGAGUAUUGAGUAAACGAGGGGGGAGGUGUGUCUGAAGUGCGCCUCUCAGUCAGAUCCACCUACAAGUUUCUGUUUCCUUUUUAUGUUUUGUUGCUUUUAAGCAUAAAGCCAACCAUAUGCCAGUGCCAAGUGGAUUAACUGGCUUACAACAUUCAACAUAUUGACUUAACCACCUGAUGUUCACAGUAUCUUGUUUCCUAGCAACAGAUGCUAAGUAAUACAUCAAAAUUAAUCUGAGGCUACAGAUUUUACAGGGUAUUUGUUCCAUAGCACAAAGUAUUUCCCCACUCUUGCAUCACAGCACAAACUACCAAAUUUUGAUUUUUUUUUUUUUUUAGAUCCCAGCAAUAAUUUUUAAUAGUUUUCAAACUGGUGGAAUUUUGAUAGUGCUAGCUGGAGUUUGAAGCUUUUGAAUUAGAUCUCUAAAUGGUGACAGUUUACAUGGUUUUAUCUAGCUUUCUUAUUUAUACUUGACUGAAUUGUAAUUUUUUUCUAAUUGUAAUCUGACCUAAUAGCCAUAUAAAAUGACUCUGUUAGUACUGUCUAGGCCUAGCUUCUCACGGUUGUAGAUAUUCAGUUCCGGUGCUGGAAAAUAUGUACAACAAUACUAACAGGAUUGAAAAAGAUGGAGGUUUGUUUUGUUUGUUGUUUUUCCAAAGCAGGUAGGGAGGACAGCAAAGUAUUAGAAUUAUGUCCUCAAACGUUAUGUUCGUUGGGGAGGAAGGAAGCAGGACUUAGUAACAGUUAAUCAGUAGGCGGAGCUUAACCCCAUUCACAGAGAGAGAAAUCAAGUGACAGCCCCAGGUCUUAGCGUACUAUUUUUACUAUGAUAACUGUUUUAAUAAUAUUUUCUAAAUUUCAAAACAUAAAACCGAAUGAUUGGAAAUUGGUGGGUCCUCACGUUGGUGGCUGUUGGAGUUUUGGACCACUUGCUAGCAGUGAUUUAAACAUGAUAAUUAGCUAACCCCCUCCAAAAAAAAUAAUAACAAAAAUAGAAAACCAACAAUUGCAUUGGUGCAGAACAUGCAUCUUGACAAUGGUACUAACUUGUUAUUCUCUAGAACACAUUAGAAUAGAUCUAUUUUUGCCAGAGCACCCUCCCUCCGUCCUCCAAUACAUUUCACUAGAGUCCUUUAAGAGAUUGCUGUAUAUUCCUGAGACCUUUUUUAAAA